rnacentral:rRNA from 1 species
AGCAGCCGCCGCGGUAUACGAAGGGUGCAAGCGUUAAUCGGAAUUACUGGGCGUAAAGCGUGCGUAGGCGGUUUGUUAAGUCUGUUGUGAAAUCCCCGGGCUCAACCUGGGAAUGGCAGUGGAUACUGGCUCGCUAGAGUGUGUCAGAGGAUGGUGGAAUUCCCGGUGUAGCGGUGAAAUGCGUAGAGAUCGGGAGGAACAUCAGUGGCGAAGGCGGCCAUCUGGGACAACACUGACGCUGAGGCACGAAAGCGUGGGGAGCAAACAGGAUUAGAUACCCGAGUAGUCCCUGUCUCUUAUACA